UGGGGAAUAUUGCACAAUGGGCGCAAGCCUGAUGCAGCCAUGCCGCGUGAGUGAAGAAGGCCUUAGGGUUGUAAAGCUCUUUCAACGGUGAAGAUGAUGACGGUAGCCGUAGAAGAAGCCCCGGCUAACUCCGUGCCAGCAGCCGCGGUAAUACGGAGGGGGCAAGCGUUGUUCGGAAUUACUGGGCGUAAAGGGCACGUAGGCGGCGAUGCGGGUCAGGUGUGAAAGCCCCGGGCUUAACCUGGGAACUGCACUUGAAACUGCAUUGCUUGAGGACGGAAGAGGAGAAUGGAAUUCCCAGUGUAGAGGUGAAAUUCGUAGAUAUUGGGAAGAACACCAGUGGCGAAGGCGAUUCUCUGGUCCGUAUCUGACGCUGAGGUGCGAAAGCGUGGGGAGCAAACAGG
rnacentral:rRNA from 1 species